rnacentral:rRNA from 1 species
UACGUAGGGGGCAAGCGUUGUCCGGAAUCAUUGGGCGUAAAGGGUGCGUAGGCGGCGCGGUAAGUCGGGUGUGAAAUCUUGGAGCUUAACUCCGAAACUGCAUUCGAUACUGCCGUGCUUGAGGACUGGAGAGGAGACUGGAAUUUACGGUGUAGCGGUGAAAUGCGUAGAUAUCGGGAGGAACACCUGUGGCGAAAGCGGCGCACUGGACCACAUCUGACGCUGAGGCGCGAAAGCUAGGGGAGCAAACAGG